UGGAGAUGCAGUGUGUAGUCACACUGGCACCAGCAGCGUUCGCGGUAGGAUGGAGCUCUUCUAACCGGUGUACCUGAGGUGCCUGCCAUCCCCACACUCGGACCCAUGACAUCACAGCAACUGAGUUGAGAAGUAGACACGCCCCCAGGAGAGCUGCAUGCUUUCUGACACGCCAACAG